AGUGAACGCUGGCGGUAGGCCUAACACAUGCAAGUCGAACGGCAGCACAGGAGAGCUUGCUCUCUGGGUGGCGAGUGGCGGACGGGUGAGGAAUACAUCGGAAUCUACCUUUUCGUGGGGGAUAACGUAGGGAAACUUACGCUAAUACCGCAUACGACCUUCGGGUGAGAGCAGGGGACCUUCGGGCCUUGCGCGGAUAGAUGAGCCGAUGUCGGAUUAGCUAGUUGGCGGGGUAAAGGCUCACCAAGGCGACGAUCCGUAGCUGGUCUGAGAGGAUGAUCAGCCACACUGGAACUGAGACACGGUCCAGAAGCCUACGGGAGGCAGCAGUGGGGAAUAUUGGACAAUGGGCGCAAGCCUGAUCCAGCCAUACCGCGUGGGUGAAGAAGGCCUUCGGGUUGUAAAGCCCUUUUGUUGGGAAAGAAAAGCAGCCAGUUAAUACCUGGUUGUUCUGACGGUACCCAAAGAAUAAGCACCGGCUAACUUCGUGCCAGCCGCCGCGGUAA
rnacentral:rRNA from 1 species